GGAAAAUGCGGAUGCAAACAUGGCCACAUUCCACAGAUGAGUACCACCUCUAUAAGGAAGAUGUUGAUCUGCUGGAAAACCUGAAUUUCGAUGUUUAUCGGUUUUCAAUCUCAUGUUAGUAAGGAAGGUGUAGCGUAUUACAAGAAUCUGAUGGAGGCACAAGCAGCUG